rnacentral:tRNA from 1 species
GCCUGGCUGGCUCAGUCAGUAGAGCAUGACACUGUUUAUCUCCAGGUCAUGAGUUCAAUCCCCAUGCUGGGCA